CGAUUAUAUGAAAACAUAGAAUUAUCACAAUUACUCUUAAAUCAUUAUAACCGCUGUUUUCGAGAGUGUUUUUCAAUGUUAAUUAUUUUGUUUUUUUCUUCACGUACAAUUUACAUUUCUACAAUUUAAUUUUCUCUUAAUGAACAAUUCACACACGUUGAAAAAAAGGAAAGGAGGAGCAGAAAAAGAACGCGAUAAAAAAAUAAAAUAAAAUACUUCUAGAGUCGGCUCAAAAUUGCACAAAUAUUAUUUCGUUAGGUUAGGUACCUAUGUUUUACAUACAUAGUUUGACAUAUUUAACAAACAACAAUAAGUAAUAUUGAUACCCUCUGUGCUAAAUUGGUGAAACGGUGCUGAAAAUUUUGACUGGUUCAAUUAUUUUUGUAAUGAUUUUCAAUACCUAUUACAUGUUGUAUCUAAAUGUAAGUAUCUUAUUAUAGAAUUAAUUUUUUGUUUAGGUAAAAAAUCUAUCUCUUUUUAGUGAAUCAUCAUUCAGUGAACUUUAAAAGACUCUUUAUAAAAAAAGUUGGAAAAUAUUUAAGUUGGUUUAGACGAUAAAAAAAAAUUGAGUUUUGCAACAACAAGCUUGGCUGAUUUAGUAAUAAAUAAUUAUGAUUUUGUAUUACAGUAAAUAUGGUGAUGUUUUGAAAGAAAAUGUGAUUUUUAAUAGCCUUAUUAAUCUAAAUUGUACAGAUAUAUAGAAUACUCAUUGUUUUUAAAAAUAUAUAUAUAAAUGAUAUGUAAAAAUAUUGUAGUCUUGUACCAAGAAUAAAUAAUAUUAUUAUAAUUAUCAUUUAAAUAGUAAAAUAAAUAAAUAAAUUAAAUACAUAAAUACAUAAACGUUGUAGUAGUCUCUAUGGAUCAUUAAUUUUAAUAAUUUUUAGAAACGUGAAGAAUAUUUUAUAGUGGUUUAAAAAGUAUUAAAGUAUUUUAGAUAUUUAUUUAUUUAUUUAUUUAAUCAUUAAAACAUUUUGUAUAAAUAUAUUUAAUAUACCAAUAUAAUGAUUGAUACCAAAUCCCUGUAAGCUAUGCUUGGUGAUGCUAGGUGAGAUUCGGGAGUCUAAUAUAAUAUCUAAUUAAUAUUUAAUUGACGAAUUAUGAUAAUAUUAUGUCUAAUAUAUAAAAAACGUACAUAUUUAACAUAAUAUGUGAUUUACAUAUUAUCACUAAAGAAAAUAAAAAUAAAAUAAAUUUAUAUAGUUGAAUACCUAGUUAUUAUAUAAGGUGAAAAAUAGAAGGACUUCUAGUGAAAUAGAUUUGCAUACCAUUUUUUAAUUAGGUAACUCAAAAUGUUGAUUUUUAUUAAUUUGUUUAAUUUUGUAUGGAAAUUGAUUUAUAGAGAUUUAUUUCUCUGUAUAUUAUAUAAACCAUAUUAAUUAAGAUCGUAUUAGGCUAACAUAAUGUAAGUUUGCAAUUGUUCAUAUUUCAUGAGACAUUGAGUCAAAAACUUUUGAGACGUCUAAUAAUAUAGGUACCUAAACAAAACUUAUCUCUAUCUAGUGCACUAUAAGCUGAAUUCGCUACUAGUAUAUACACAAAAUCCUAAUUGCAUUUCAAAAUAUUUUUGUAGUUGGAUUUUUGCUAGUCUUUUUAGUAGUUUAGAUAUUGCUGAAACUAAUGAUAUUGGUCUGUAAUUUUUAAGCUCUGUGUGAUCACCUGUUUUAUAGAUUGGAAUCGCAGUUGUUUGUUUAUAUAUAUAUAUCAGGAAAAGUACCCUUUUGGAAGCUUAAGUUUACUAAAUAAGUAACAGGUUUAACUAUACAUUUUGCUAUUUGUACUAAUAGAUCAGAUGAAAUUCCAUCUAAACCAGGUGAUGGACCCUUUUCAUAAUUUUCAAUUACUUUAUUUACUUUGUAUUCAGAAAAAGGUAUAAAAUCAUGAUCAUAUUUCAUAAUGUAAAUAUUUUGGUUAAUUUUAUUUAUUUAUGUUGGUUUAUUAUAGUAUAAUAUUUUUAUCUUUUUGUAUUAAUUCUGUUAUAUUGUUACGUACAUUUAUAAAGUGAUUAUUAAAAGCAUUUAUAAACAAUUUCUCAACAAUGUUUGUAAUAUCAAUUAGUUAUAAGAAAUGAUUUUGGAGGACUACAAAUUAUUUUUUUGUUAACUAUUUCUCUAAUUGUGUUCCAAACUUUUUUAAUAUUUCCAGUGUUGUUUUUAAUUUUAAUUUUAUUUUUUAGCUAAUCAUAUUAGUAUGCAUAAUUUAUUUAUAUAUUUUUUAUAAUAAUUAUGUAAUUUGAUAUCAUUAUUUCUUUUUAAUACCUACCGUUUUACGUAAUUUAUAUCUAGUUCUAAUUCAUUUUACUAAGCUGUUAGUUAUCCAUGGUUUAAUUCAUCUUCUAUUUAAUGGAAUGUAAUUAUCCUUCAUUUUUAAAGAAUCAAAUAAGUAUUUAUUCAAUGUUAUUUAAAUUGUUUGCACAUUUAUUAAAAUGAUUUAUUUAAAACUGUAAACCAAUUUUGUUCUGUUAAAAAUGAGAUUAGUAAUCUUUUGUUAGUUAUAGGAUUUUCAUUGUUAUAGUUUUUACUGUAACUAUAUUUACUGUAAUAUAAUUUUUCUUUUAUGCUCUUUUGCUUAACAAUUAAUAUUAUACUAUAAUGAUCAGUGUUAUUUGAUUGAUAUGUAAUAAGAAUUAAGUUUGGCAAAUCAGUAUAAUUUUUAUAAAUAUAUGAUCAAUAGUGGUGCUGCAGGAACCGUUGUCUCUAGUGAUAUCAUUAAUACAACUUAAUUAAAUUCUGACAUUAUAUCUCCUGUUACUAUGGUUUUAUUCACUGAAAAAUAUUUGAUAAUAUUUUAGUUAAUUGGAUUUCAAAUUCUAUAAAAUAAUUAUUAUGAUUUCAGUAAAGUGGUAUUAUUACACGAGUAGUAUCUCUAGUAUUAAUAUUAGAUUGUAAACAAUUACAAUUAUCAAUAACUAUAUCGUUUAUAUCAUUAACUUUAUACUUAGUAUUAACUAUAAAGUAAUAUUACUCUAUGGUAUUAACAUCAUAGACAUAUUAAUAUAAUAAUAAUUAUAUUAAUUAUUAUUAUUAAUUAACAAUAAUUGUUGAAAAAAAUAUAUAUAUUGUUUUGUUAUAGGUGGAGCAAAAAUAAAGUUUAUAGAAAGAAACAGACAAACAUUUAGAAAGUGUUGCUGGUACUUGGCCGGCUUAAGUCAAAGAAAGAAUGAAAUAUAUUUGUACAGCUUGUAAUUACAUUAAUUACAAACUUGUUUUUUAUUUUCAUGUCAAUGUUGAAUAAUAUUUUCAAUAAAAAGGACAGAAUUUUAUUAUUAUAAAAUACGUUUUUUAUUAUAUUAUCAAUACU
rnacentral:lncRNA from 1 species